ensembl:lncRNA
CGGGAAGUGGCUCGGUGGAAAAGGUCAGUUUACUGCCCCACCAGAAAAAAAGAAGCACAAAUUGCGUCACUGGGCAUGUACCACAGCCUAUACGGGGACAGACUAUUUUUAGCGAGGAUGGAACUGUCUGCUCUGGACGCGGUCGUGACGUAGGAGACGCGAGAAAGCCAUGCAAAAUCGUGACCAUGUGACGGUGGUGAAUGGAGACAGUGGCGAUUGAAAUCAAAGAUGAAGGUACGUCAAGAGAGUUCACGCGUUGUGGUCCAGCCAUAUGUCUAUGGGUACAUAAGAAGGUGCAGCAAUCGCUGCAGCAAUUUGAUCCUUGAACGGGUUUACAUCGCACAGGGAUGUGUUUUCUAUUUAUCUAGAAAUUAUAACUCCAGGUAUAGUUAAUAUAAAACAGGUAGAUAUGUGAAGAAAUAUUCCAUUAUAGUGGCUGCGCAUGCGUCACAUUAGAAGUCCAUAUUUCCUGUUUUUAAACGUUUAAUGAGCGGUACACAAAUGUGUUUCUUAAUAUAACAAAGUUUCUCCACCAAUUACGAGACAGUCGUCGUAUCUUCAACACAAAGUAUAUUAAUUGAAUGGCGCUCUGUCUAUCUCAUUCUUAAGCAAAUGCGGAAGUAAACACGCGCGAAGCAUCUCGCCUCGCAACAGCAGCGAAGAUACGAUAGUUUGAAAAAAUCAAAACAAACCAUUCUAGUUAAUAAUCUGUGCAUAACCAGUGUUUGUCUCCAAAAGAGACCUUCAUCAUGCCGAAAAUAGAGAAUAUGCCUUCCUGUGUUGUCUAACGAGCAUACCAGUAGAUAUACAGUUGCCUUGCAGUAACGUUAGCAACCCAAAUGUAAAACGGCUUUGAUUGAUAAUCCGGUUAUUCCCCAGUUUGCAACAUCUGCCCAUUCAUUCAACGAUGAGGGGAAAUAUUUCAGGAAUCAGGAAACAGGAAUCAGGAAACAUUUAUUACCAAGAUAUGUCAAACAUACAAGGAAUUUGUCUUGGCCGAUGGUGCAUGACAGUAGAGUCUAGACAGUAUGACAAUAGACAACAAGACAGCAGUGCACAAGUAAUAAAAUAAAGUAAAAUGAAAUGAUAAUGCAAUGGGUGAGUAUAAUAAGGCUAUGGGUUAGUAUAAAACAAGGGAAUAAAGUUAAAGUUAAAAAUUUAAAGUAUUAAAAAAGUUUAAAAAAAUAUUAAGCAUAAAGUGCUUUAUAGCUGGGCAAACUAAUUUCAUGACAGUUUGGUUUCAUUUUCAACUUUCAACAUUUUCUGAUUUGGGUUGAAUUAGCUCAAUGCCAGCAAGGGAUUCAGUUCACGUAUAUAUAUAUAUAUAUAUAUAUAUAUAUAUAUAUAUAUAUAUAUAUAUAUAUCCCUAUAAUUCUCAUAAGAAGUGUAUUACUCUGCCUUUACUAUACAGAACACAUGUUCAGCCUCAGGUUUGGUGCAGCAAUUCAACUCCAAGAAAUAUGGUUAGGAGACAAAAGGGAAAGUUAAAGUUAAGCAAAGGCCAAAGUCAAGCUGGUUGGUUUAUUAAAUCCUGCAUUUAAUGGACACUUUUCUGGGUCAUGUUGGGCCAAAGUGUCAGAUACAGAUGGACAGCAUGUGUAUGCGGUCGUAUUUCUUUUUGUUUCUGAGUCCAUCCAGAAGAAAGAUCAUUUACGUCUUGAGGAUGAGUGCCCGUGUAGAUGCCGUGGCUGCCAAGAUCGAGACCGCUGUCACCAUUAACCAGAUCUCUGUGUCAAUGGACAAGUUCGAGAACCAGUUUAAAACUCUUGACGUGCAGACAGCUCAGAGAAAGGACACGAUGGAAGACACCAGCAGUCUGACGAUGUCUCAGAAUGAAGGGGAAACGCUGCUGCUUGAGAUGGUUGAUGAAACAAAGUACGGCUCCAAACAUUCGGAAAACUGACAAUAACGACAAGAGGUAUAACAUUUAAGAGAGACAAAUGAACCUUUAAAAAGAGACGCUGUUGUGUUUUUUAAGGUUCCCAGCGAUCAUUUUUCUGGUUCAAAAGUUUUUUCAACGUUUAUUUGUAGACCUUGAAAAACAUUGGGCCCAAUUUUAAUGUAAUUUUUAAUAUGGAAAUGUUUCAUCCUCUACAAAUAGACGUUGAAAUUUCAACGUUGGUCAUAGGCAUCUUUUCAACGGAUAAUUGCUUGCUGGAAACUUUUAGAUACUUAAUCACAGUAGUCAUAUAAUAUAAUAUAUUACAUAUCAGAAAUAUAACAUAAUGCUUUUCUUAGAUAAAAUCCCUAUACACAAAAAUAUUUUUCAGGGAAAAUAGGCUAUGGAAUUAAAAGUGUAGAAAAC